GAUGAACGCUCGCGGCAGGCCUAACACAUGCAAGUCGAGGGAGAAGCCCUUUCGGGGGCAGAAACCGGCGCACGGGUGCGUAACGCGUAUGCAACCUACCUUUCACAGGGGGAUAGCCCGAAGAAAUUUGGAUUAAUACCCCAUAAUAUUAUUGGAUGGCAUCAUUUGAUAAUUAAAACUGCGGUGGUGAAAGAUGGGCAUGCGUCCUAUUAGCUAGUUGGAGUGGUAACGGCACCCCAAGGCUACGAUAGGUAGGGGUCCUGAGAGGGAGAUCCCCCACACUGGUACUGAGACAGGGACCAGACUCCUACGGGAGGCAGCAGUGAGGAAUAUUGGGCAAUGGUCGGAAGACUGAACCAGCCAUGCCGCGUGCAGGAAGAAUGCCUUAUGGGUUGUAAACUGCUUUUAUAUGGGAAGAAUAAGGCGUACGUGUACGUUGAUGACGGUACCAGAUGAAUAAGCAUCGGCUAACUCCGUG
rnacentral:rRNA from 1 species